GUUUUUUGGAAGAAUACAUCAUGGAAGGGUCUUAAUAUGUGGCAGGGCUCUUAAAUUUAUUUUAAUGUAUUCAAAUUAAGUAUUUUUAAACUGUUGAGUCCAAAGUGAAAAAUUUGGGAAACUUGACAGCUAUCAAUGCUAGGUGGCAUAUUGACCUUAACUAGGAAAUGCUGUUUCUUUGAAAAAGGAAAUAGAAAUGCCCUAUGGCUGUUUCUAGCCUAAAAAACUUUGUGGGGUUCAUUCAAGGCUCUAGAUAUAAUAAAAGGCUGAGAAAACUGAAUAGUGGUAGACAGCAGAGUUCCUGUAAAUUGGACACAAAUAACCAGAGGAGCUGGCCUGUCUCUGUUACCAAAACAGCUCGGGUCCUUUGGGAAGAAAAAGCAAUUUGUUUGGCAGUCCUGCUGAGGUAUGACUCUGGAAGGCCUCCAUAUGAGAAUGAAGGUCCUGGAGGCCAAUCAGCAAGCAUGCCCACAAGGUCCAGAGGUGAACCACCUCCAUCUUUCUUUGGCUGA
rnacentral:lncRNA from 1 species